rnacentral:rRNA from 1 species
UACGUAGGCAGCGAGCGUUGUUCGGAGUUACUGGGCGUAAAGGGUGUGUAGGCGGUUUUCUAAGUUGGAUGUGAAAACUCUGGGCUUAACCCAGAGCCUGCAUUCAAUACUGACAGGCUAGAGUUCUGGAGGGGAUAGCGGAAUUCCUGGUGUAGCGGUGAAAUGCGUAGAUAUCAGGAGGAACACCGGUGGCUAAGGCGGCUAUCUGGACAGAGUCUGACGCUGAGGCGCGAAAGCUAGGGGAGCAAACAGG